rnacentral:rRNA from 1 species
UACGUAGGUGGCGAGCGUUGUCCGGAUUUACUGGGCGUAAAGCGCGCGCAGGCGGGCUGGUCAGUCCGGGGUGAAAUCUCACGGCUCAACCGUGAGCGGUCCCCCGGAUACUGCCAGUCUUGAGGUGUCUAGAGGAGAGCGGAAUUCCCGGUGUAGUGGUGGAAUGCGUAGAUAUCGGGAAGAACACCAGUGGCGAAAGCGGCUCUCUGGGGACCACCUGACGCUGAGGCGCGAAAGCGUGGGGAGCGAACCGG